rnacentral:rRNA from 1 species
GACGAACGCUGGCGGCGUGCUUAACACAUGCCAGUCGAACGGAAAGGCCCUGCUUUUGUGGGGUGCUCGAGUGGCGAACGGGUGAGUAACCCGUGAGUAACCUGCCCUUGACUUUGGGAUAACUUCAGGAAACUGGGGCUAAUACCGGAUAGGAGCUCCUGCUGCAUGGUGGGGGUUGGAAAGUUUCGGCGGUUGGGGAUGGACUCGCGGCUUAUCAGCUUGUUGGUGGGGUAGUGGCUUACCAAGGCUUUGACGGGUAGCCGGCCUGAGAGGGUGACCGGCCACAUUGGGACUGAGAUACGGCGCAGACUCCUACGGGAGGCAGCAGUGGGGAAUAUUGCACAAUGGGCGGAAGCCUGAUGCAGCAACGCCGCGUGCGGGAUGACGGCCUUCGGGUUGUAAACCGCUUUCGCCUGUGACGAAGCGUGAGUGACGGUAAUGGGUAAAGAAGCACCGGCUAACUACGUG